AUUGAACGCUGGCGGCAGGCCUAACACAUGCAAGUCGAACGAGUGGCGGACGGGUGAGUAAUGUCUGGGAAACUGCCCGAUGGAGGGGGAUAACUACUGGAAACGGUGGCUAAUACCGCAUACCAUCGGAUGUACCCAGAUGGGAUUAGCUAGUAGGUGGGGUAACGGCUCACCUAGGCGACGAUCCCUAGCUGGUCUGAGAGGAUGACCAGCCACACUGGAACUGAGACACGGUCCAGACUCCUACGGGAGGCAGCAGUGGGGAAUAUUGCACAAUGGGGGCAAUCCUGAUGCAGCCAUGCCGGUUGUAUGAAGAAGGCCUUCGGGUUGUAAAGUACUUUCAGCGAGGAGGCGUUACUCGCAGAAGAAGCACCGGCUAACUCCGUGCCAGCAGCCGCGGUAAUUC
rnacentral:rRNA from 1 species